rnacentral:rRNA from 1 species
CCUACGGGGUGCUGCAGUGGGGAAUAUUGGACAAUGGGCGAAAGCCUGAUCCAGCCAUGCCGCGUGUGUGAAGAAGGCCUUCGGGUUGUAAAGCACUUUCAGUGGGGAAGAAAGCCUUGGGGCUAAUACCCUCGAGGAAGGACAUCACCCACAGAAGAAGCACCGGCUAACUCCGUGCCAGCAGCCGCGGUAAUACGGAGGGUGCGAGCGAUAAUCGGAAUUACUGGGCGUAAAGCGCGCGUAGGCGGUCUGAUAAGCCGGUUGUGAAAGCCCCGGGCUCAACCUGGGAACGGCAUCCGGAACUGUCAGGCUAGAGUGCAGGAGAGGAAGGUAGAAUUCCCGGUGUAGCGGUGAAAUGCGGAGAGAUCGGGAGGAAUACCAGUGGCGAAGGCGGCCUUCUGGACUGACACUGACGCUGAGGUGCGAAAGCGUGGGUAGCAAACAGGAUUAGAUACCCGAGUAGUC